rnacentral:lncRNA from 1 species
GGUGGUAAGGCAAUCCUGUAAGCGACAGAACCAACCCAAUCUUGGGCUUAACUUUCCUUUAGGAUUUGGUUCUUGAUAUCUGGUUCAUUAGGUACACAUACUAUAUCCCCAAAUCUCAAUAGGCCAUCCUUUGAAACUUGAAAUUUUGGCUUCAAUUCCUUUUCUACUUCAUUCCUCAAGUAGAUUAAACGUGGAUCUCGUAAUUG